ensembl:lncRNA
UUUUUCUUUUUUUUGUCUUUUUAGGGCCGCAUGCACGUCAUAUGGAAGUUCCCAAGCUAGGGGUUGAAUCAGAGCUACAGCUGCCAGCCUACACCACAACCACAACAAUGCCAGAUCCGAACUGGCCAGGGAUCGAACCUGCAUCUUCAUGGAUACUAGUCAGGUUCAUUACUGCUAAGCUACCAUGGGAACAUUCUCAUUUUUAAGUACAGUUUUAUCCCAAGCUCAAAUAAAAAAGGUUUUGUAGCCUCUGAAAAUUCUGUGAGCAUGAUCAAAAGACUAUAUCAUGUAUUGUAGAGCUGUUGUGUGUAUCUGGAAAUAAAAUUAGAGGAAGAUGUACAGAGUUGAACCAAAACAAGUACUAAGAGAGAAUGGCUUGUGAAAGGGUUCAAGACGGUCUAAAGUAGUAACCACUUCUCAAUGGCCAUAGCCCCAAAAUUAAGCUUCUGUUAUAUUAAAAAUAUAUCAAACCAAGUACAGAAUUAUCACAAAGGAUCCAGAGAGCAUAUUAAAUAUACUAGUCCCCAGCACAAGCAGUGAUUGCUUUACAAUGUCUAUUGCAUCUAUCAACUAAAGAAUGGAUAAGCAAGUGUGGUAUAUCCAUACAACGGAAUAUUAUUUGACAAUAAAUAAUGAACUGUGGAUACAUGCUACAAUAUGGGGAAGGGAAAGGAGAGUGACUGCUCAUAAAUACAAGGUUUCUUUGGGGGGGUAAUGAAAAAUGUUCUAAAAUUAGAUUAUGAUGAUUGUUACUGCAAUUCUCUAAAUAAUCUAAAAAACAUUGAAUUGUACAGUUUAGACUAGCAAACUCGUAGAUAUGUAAAUUUUAUCUCAGGAGAGCCGUUAAAGUCUAUUUGCAAAUUUUUCUUUUUGGUUGGAUCCUAAUUUAUUGAGAUUUGAUGUUUACCAGUUUUAGUUAUCAGUUGUUGAUUUCUAAGUGUGUUUCAACUGAACCUUGUCUUCCACUGAAUGUUUUCAUAAUUAUCAAGAAUCACUUUUUAGUUGAAAUCUGUAAAUUCUGGAAGGAAAGCUGAUGGUUAGCCAGCUUCAUAGAGCAGAAAUUUUUAGAAAGUCAGAAUUGAGGAUACACAUUGACAGUGACUUUUCAUUGACAAAUGUACCUUUGAGAACUAUUGGGAGGAGAAAAGAGCACCAAAUAUUUCUGCUCUGAAUUAGUUAGAUGUUGUGCUCCAGUCGUUCUUGCAUGAAGAUUCCUGAAGCCUUUGUUUCAUCUUGUUUUAUUACUUUUUCAUCUUGUUUCUUACUGCAAAGAAGAUUAACUGAAAACUCCUCAGACGUCUUAUUUCAGUGUUCUGAAAUCCCAACACAGCUUCUCUUGCCUUCUAAUUAAUUGUUCAAUACAGCAAAAUUCUGUCUUCUUACCAUUCACUUCCAGUAAUGUUACAUUUACUAUACCUGUGUGUUUCUGGUCUUUUCAUUCUGAUCUUUUCUUUAGAAACAGCUUCCCAGUUCUUCUUACUAAACCAACUCCAUCACUUUUCCUAAGACUCAAAUGCCUUCCCCUUGCAAAAGUAUUUCCUGAUUUAUAUGUCACCUCAUUGUUGUGUCUCAUUAUUUAGUCUUCUCAUGCAUGUCCUGAGUUUAUGUUUGCUCCUUAUUCAUAUAUAUAUAUGAUCUUCCUUACUGUCUUGCAGUGAUUUUGAUGAGAAAAUAUCAUCACAUUUUUAAUGUCUCAAUACAUGAAUAGUGCAAUUCCUGACACAAACACAUGGAGUUAUAAUUAGGAAAUUAUUAUUUAUCGGUUGGCAUCCAUGUUUUAUUGACUAAAUUAUGAAACUCACACAUAUUCCUGGGCCUAUUACUGAGAGAAUUGAAGAGCUUUAAAGCCUGUCAGCUGAGACUGAGAUUAUUAUUUACGCUGAAUGAAAUUUUCUAGCAACUAUUUCCCACUUCAAAUAUGUGGUGUUUAUAUUAACACAAUCAUUCUAACUUUGUUAUAACCUUUAUCUUACUGAUCUCAGUAAAGAUAUUUAAAGCACAGAAAGAAUAUUUUUACCAUAGCUUUGAGGAGCAAAGAAUCCAUACAUCAUGGUAUUAAAUUACCAGAAUAGAUGAUGGAUGACAUUUUCAUAUAGUAUAUCCU